GAUGAACGCUGGCGGCGUGCUUAACACAUGCAAGUCGAACGAACCUUCGGGUUAGUGGCGGACGGGUGAGUAACGCGUGAGAAUCUGCCCUCAGGAGGGGGAUAACGGCUGGAAACGGCCGCUAAUACCCCAUAUGCCGCGAGGUGAAAUGAAUUUCGCCUGAGGAUGAGCUCGCGUCUGAUUAGCUAGUUGGUGGGGUAAGAGCCUACCAAGGCAUCGAUCAGUAGCUGGUCUGAGAGGAUGAUCAGCCACACUGGGACUGAGACACGGCCCAGACUCCUACGGGAGGCAGCAGUGGGGAAUUUUCCGCAAUGGGCGAAAGCCUGACGGAGCAACGCCGCGUGAGGGAUGAAGGCCUCUGGGCUGUAAACCUCUUUUAUCAAGGA
rnacentral:rRNA from 1 species